CAUUUUCGGUUCCAUCCAGGAUGUGGUGAUAGAGUCCGAUGCCAGCUUGCACAGCUGGGGUGCCUGUUGUGCCGACGUUUCCACAGGAGGCAGAUGGUCCGACAUGGAGAAGUCGUUACACAUCAACUGCUUGGAACUCCUGGCAGGGGCCUUCGCGAUCCGCAGCCUUACCCCAGGACGGGCGAAUUGCUGCGUUCUUCUCAAGAUGGACAACGUGUCGGCAGUCCGUUACAUAAAUCACCUAGGGGGUACAAAAUCCAAGAUGCUGGCGAAUCUAGCAAAAGAUUUCUGGCAGUUCUGCCUCUACAACAACGUCUCGGUGACGGCGGAGCACAUCCCGGGUCUGGACAAUUCGGGAGCGGAUUGGAAUUCCAGACACUUAAGAGACUCUGGGGAUUGGUGUUUGCACGCUUUGGUGUUCCGGAGCCUAGACAAGUUGUGGGGAAAAUUCCGGAUGGAUCUGUUGGCAUCGCGCCUGAACACUCAACUACCGAAAUUCUACAGUUGGAGGCGGGACCCGGCAGUGGUGGCGACGGAUGCCUUUCUCCAGGAAUGGCC